AUACGUAGGUGACAAGCGUUAUCCGGAUUUACUGGGCGUAAAGGGCGUGUAGGCGGUCUUGCAAGUCAGAAGUGAAAUUCCUGAGCUCAACUCGGGCGCUGCUUCUGAAACUGCAGGACUUGAGUGCUGGAGGGGAUAGCGGAAUUCCUAGUGGAGCGGUAAAAUGCGCAGAUAUUAGGAGGAACACCAGUGGCGAAGGAGGCUGGCGGGACGACAACUGACGAUGAGGCGCGAAAGCGUGGGGAGAAAACAGGAUUAGAUACCCUGGUAGUCCACGCCGUAAACGAUGAAUGCUAGGUGUUGCGGGUAUCGACCCCUGCAGUGCCGGAGUAAACACAAUAAGCAUUCCGCCUCGGGAGUACGGCCGCAAGGUUGAAACUCAAAUGAAUUGACGGGG
rnacentral:rRNA from 1 species